rnacentral:hammerhead_ribozyme from 1 species
GUCCAGCUGAUGAGUCUCAAAUAGGACGAAACGCGCGUCCUGGAU